rnacentral:lncRNA from 1 species
CUCAAUUCUUAAAGCAUACAUAUUAAAUUUAUAUUAAAUCUCUAAUAUGUAUGUUACUUAAGAAUUUCUAUUUUUGCUGGGGUUUUGUUGAGAAGGGAUUUUUAAGCCAAGUUGUAGAAUGGGGUGGGUGUAAUUUCAGCAGUGAAGGGGACCAUGGGUGUUUGAAGUCAAGAGUGAGACGCUGGAAAAAAGACAAAAGAAUGGGAAAAAGUGGAUUGAGUAUAUAAGCACAAAUGCAGUGCUAAGCCAUUGAUUUUAAGUGAAUGUAGAGAGAGUCAAUUUGGGCUGUAGUAUCCUGGACUAGGAAGGACAUCUCCCUGGACUAGGUAGGGUAGCUGCUGUUUAGCUCCAGCAGAAUUUUCACAUGCGGGGAUAAACCAGAAAUCUGCAUUUUUUAAUGAGGAAUCUUCCAAUUUUAAAAUGUUUGCAAAUAACACAAAAUGCUUUUAAAACAUUAUACAGACAACAUGUGAGUGGGCCUCACUGAGCCAUUGGGCUUCCACUUUGUGGCCUUUGGAGUAGACCAAUGGUUUUCCAAGUAUGGGUCCUGACCAGCAGCAUCAGCAUCACUUGAGAACUUGUUAGAAAUGUAAAUCCAUUUCCAAGUGAAUUAGAAACCCUGGGGGUGUCAGCAAUCUCUUUUAAUAAACCCUUUAGCGAUUCUGAUGCAUGCUAAAGUUUGAGAACCAGUGAAACAGAGUAUUUUGGAACCUCGCUUGGUGCCUAAAUCAUACUAGUCUCAAAAUUUUUGUCGAAGAGUAGUUGAAAGUGAACUGAGGGAUAUAAAUUUGGAUGAUGGUUGAUACCAGAUUAUGAAUUACAUUAAAUACUUUUUUUUUUUUUUUUUGAGAUGGAGUCUUGCUUUGUCACCUAGGUUGGAGUGCAGUGGUGCGAUGUUGGCUCACUGCAAUCUCCGUUUCCUGGGUUCAAGCGAUUCUCCUGCUUCAGCUUCCCAAGUAGCUGGGACUACAGGCGCACCACCAUGCCUGGCUAAUUUUUUGUGUUUUUAGUAGAGACGGGGUUUCACUGUGUUAGCCAGG